UUUCAGAAAGAGAAACUCCUUCAGAGACCUCACCAUGGUCUGGACUCUGUUUUCCCUCAUACUGCUUAGUUACCUCUCAGGUGUCACUUCACAGCCGACUUUGACUCAGCCUGCCUCAGAAUCUGUGUCCCCGAGACAAACAGCCAAACUCUCCUGCACCGUCAGCAGCAACGUGGGCACCAUUUACUGGUAUCAGCAGAGAGCAGGGCAAGCCCCUCGCUAUGUCCAGUAUGCUGGUGGCAGCAGGGGACAAGGGAUCCCGGAUCGGUACACAGCUUCUGCCUCUGGGAACACUGGCUAUUUAACCAUCUCUAAUGCCCAAGAUGAAGACGAGGCCGAUUAUUACUGUAACACGUGGUAUAGCAGUGGUAGCCAGUUCCACAGUGGUGAAACCUCAUGA